UCCUACAGCCAUACCACCUGAACACACCUAAUCUUUUCUGAUCUCAGGAGCUAAGCAGGGUCGGGCCUGGUUACUACUUGGAUGGGAGACCACCUAGGAAUUCCAGGUGUUGUAGGCU
rnacentral:rRNA from 1 species